GACGAACGCUGGCGGCGUGCUUAACACAUGCCAGUCGAACGGAAAGGCCUGCUUUCCCUUGUGGAUUGCGGGUACUCGAGUGGCGAACGGGUGAGUAACACGUGAGUGAUCUGCCCCCAACUUGGGUAUAAGCCUGGGAAACUGGGUCUAAUUCCCGAUAGGACUGCAGGGUGGUGCCUGUGGUGGAAAACGAUUUUCUAGUGGUUGGGGAUGAGCUCGCGGCCUAUCAGCUUGUUGGUGGGGUAAUGGCCUACCAAGGCGGCGACGGGUAGCCGGCCUGGGAGGGUGGACGGCCACAUUGGGACUGAGAUACGGCCCAGACUCCGACGGGAGGCAGCAGUGGGGAAUAUUGCACAAUGGGCGGAAGCCUGAUGCAGCGACGCCGCGUGGGGGAUGACGGCCUUCGGGUUGUAAGCUCCUUGCGACCGCGAGGAAGCCACCUGGUUGGAAGGGUGGUGACGGUAGUGGUAGAAGAAGCACCGGCUAACUACGUG
rnacentral:rRNA from 1 species